AUUUCAUAAACGUUCUAACCUCUUCUGGAAACUACAAGCUUUACAUACACCUGGAAGAUUUUGAAGGGAAUUCGGCAUAUGCAGAGUAUUCCAAUUUCAGUGUCGGAGAUGCCACAACAAAGUAUACUUUGAAUAUAGAUGGAUAUAGCGGUGAUGCAGGAAAUAGCCUUACGUACCACAACAGCAUGAUGUUUUCUACUAAAGACAAGGAUGAUGGCAUUCAUGCAUACAACUGCGCACAAAUGUUAAAAGGAGCAUGGUGGUAUAAAUCUUGUUAUCGUGCUAAUUUGAAUGGGGUAUAUUUAGGUGAACCGCUCUCAUUUGGAAAUGAUGGUAUCAGCUGGAUUGCAUGGAGAGGAAAUGAAUCACUGAAAUCUACUAAAAUGAUGAUUAAACGACACUAAGAACCAUUUUAAGAAAGCAUCACAUUUUUUUGAGCACAUUUUAUUUAUUUUUUUGAAAGUGGUUUAAUGACGUAACCUAUGAUCAAUUGGAAGAUACUCACUGAAUGUAAAGUAUAUGCCUACGGAAGAGAAAUAAACUUGCUUACGGU